GAUGAACGCUAGCGGCAGGCUUAACACAUGCAAGUCGAGGGGUAUAGUUCUUCGGAAUUAGAGACCGGCGCACGGGUGCGUAACGCGUAUGCAAUCUACCUUUCACAGAGGGAUAGCCCCAGAGAAAUUUGGAUUAAUACCUCAUAGUAUAGCAGUUUCGCAUGAAACCACUAUUAAAGUCACAACGGUGAAAGAUGAGCAUGCGUCCCAUUAGCUAGUUGGUAAGGUAACGGCUUACCAAGGCAACGAUGGGUAGGGGUCCUGAGAGGGAGAUCCCCCACACUGGUACUGAGACACGGACCAGACUCCUACGGGAGGCAGCAGUGAGGAAUAUUGGACAAUGGGCGCAAGCCUGAUCCAGCCAUGCCGCGUGCAGGAUGACGGUCCUAUGGAUUGUAAACUGCUUUUAUACAGGAAGAAACACUACUUCGUGAAGUAAGCUUGACGGUACUGUAAGAAUAA
rnacentral:rRNA from 1 species